GUAGGUGGCAAGCGUUGUCCGGAAUUAUUGGGCGUAAAGCGCGCGCAGGCGGUCCUUUAAGUCUGAUGUGAAAGCCCACGGCUCAACCGUGGAGGGUCAUUGGAAACUGGGGGACUUGAGUACAGAAGAGGAAAGCGGAAUUCCAAGUGUAGCGGUGAAAUGCGUAGAGAUUUGGAGGAACACCAGUGGCGAAGGCGGCUUUCUGGUCUGUAACUGACGCUGAGGCGCGAAAGCGUGGGGAGCAAACAGGAUUAGAUACCCUGGUAGUCCACGCCGUAAACGAUGAGUGCUAAGUGUUAGGGGGUUUCCCGCCCCCUUAGUGCUGCAGCUAACGCAUUAAGCGCCCCGCCUGGGGGAGUACGGCCGCAAGGCUG
rnacentral:rRNA from 1 species